UAGACACCAAAGCAGACCAUGUUAAUCACCCCUAAACAAAGGACUAAACAAUAUUGAACCCUGCCCUAAUGUCUUCGGUUGGGGCGACCACGGAGAAAUAAAAAACCCCCGCGUGGAACAGGGAUACUAUCCCCACAACCACGAGCCCCCGCUCUACUAAACAGAACCUCUGACCAACCAGAUCCGGCAGUGCCGAUCAACGGACCAAGUUACCCUAGGGAUAACAGCGCAAUCCCCUUUUAGAGCCCAUAUCGACAAGGGGGUUUACGACCUCGAUGUUGGAUCAGGACAUCCUAAUGGUGCAGCCGCUAUUAAG
rnacentral:rRNA from 1 species